CAGAGUAGAAAACUAUGCGUAAAGUGGCCGACAGACGGGGAGUUGCUGUUGGAACGAAAAGCACAAAAAGCUUGCGGUAUAGUUUUCGCAUCCCGCUG
rnacentral:ncRNA from 1 species